CCUCAUUGCAAUGACUAUAAUUGUAUUGCUUCAGAUAACCCACAGACGUCUCUAUAGGACAGAGAACUAUUCAGUACCAUGUGAAUUCAAUCCUUUUCAGAAUAAUCACAGCUGGUGGAUAGGGAAUAAAUUACUGAAUGAAGGUUUGCAAAACCCUGCCCUAUACUGACACAGCAAUUUCAGCUAUUCAUGGGGUUAGUUCUGGGAGUCUCUUUAUCAAGUAAGAUAUUUGAUCUGGAAAGACUUUUCAACAAUCCUGUUUUUAAGAGUAGGCGGAAGAAAUGUUCUUAGCUUUCUUCAGCGCUAGGAGCAAUCCUUCCAUCCUGGGAGCAGUUAUCCUGCAUCCAAGAGGAGCUUCACUUCUACUUUUUCCUCCUGGAAGGAGACUGUGGCCUGAUCUUCAUGGUUUUGGACCAAGUCCCUCGGCUGUACUCCUGGUGGAAAGAUUACAUCCUGUUCUGUGACUUUCAAAUCUCAAAUGCAGAUGUGCCAUUCCUUAGAAACAUCACAGGAGUUAUUUGCUCAGAGAGAAUCAAAUUUGUGUGAAUUCAUUAAGUCAAACAGGACCAUAAGUACGCAUGAUGAACCAUAUGUUUGCCUAAAGAAAUGCUGAAUCAAGUGAACGAAUGUUUUCACAAAUAAAUGUGUACACAAAUGACA
rnacentral:lncRNA from 1 species